rnacentral:rRNA from 1 species
GACAGAGGUGCCGAGCGUUUAGGCGGAAUCACUGGGCUUAAAGCGUGUGUAGGCGGGUCGUUAAGUGCCUUGUGAAAUCCCACAGCUCACCUGUGGAACUGCUUGGCAUACUGGCGAUCUUGAGCCACUUAGGGGCAACCGGAACAAACGGUGGAGCGGUGAAAUGCGCAGAUAUCAGGAGGAACACCGGUGGCGAAGGCGGAUCUCUGGGCCUUGCCGACGCUGAGGCGCGAAAGCUAGGGGAGCGAACAGG